GAUGAACGCUGGCGGCGUGCCUAAUACAUGCAAGUCGAGCGAACGGACGAGAAGCUUGCUUCUCUGAUGUUAGCGGCGGACGGGUGAGUAACACGUGGAUAACCUACCUAUAAGACUGGGAUAACUUCGGGAAACCGGAGCUAAUACCGGAUGAUAUUUUGAACCGCAUGGUUCAAAAGUGAAAGACGGUCUUGCUGUCACUUAUAGAUGGAUCCGCGCUGCAUUAGCUAGUUGGUAAGGUAACGGCUUACCAAGGCAACGAUGCAUAGCCGACCGGAGAGGGUGAUCGGCCACACUGGAACUGAGACACGGUCCAGACUCCUACGGGAGGCAGCAGUAGGGAAUCUUCCGCAAUGGGCGAAAGCCUGACGGAGCAACGCCGCGUGAGUGAUGACGGUCUUCGGAUCGUAAAACUCUGUUAUUAGGGAAGAACAUAUGUGUAAGUAACUGUGCACAUCUUGACGGUACCUAAUCAGAAAGCCACGGCUAACUACGUG
rnacentral:rRNA from 1 species